rnacentral:lncRNA from 1 species
CAACACAUCUAACCACUCUUCAGCUGAUAUCCACUUGCUGACAAAUGAAUCUCUCUGGCCCCUGGACUGUGCCCUGAAACACAGCUUAAAACAAAUGAACAGUAAUCCCAGAGACCCUGAGAUGAGAAAAGGGUGUUUGACUUAUUCAAAGAAGACCAAGGAAGCCCAAAGACCAGAGAAGAGUGCAGGAAAGGGGCGGUGGUCUGAGAUGCAGUCAGAGCAGUGGCAAGCCCCCAGAGUCUGUGGCAAAGACUUCAGGUUUCAUCCUGAAGAGGAAGACAGGUCUUUGGAGAGUUUUGAUCAAGGAAGUGAGAUGAAAUAUCUUAGGCUUAAAAAGAACUACUCUGACAUCUAAAUGGAAAAUGGACUGAUGAAGCAAAAGAAGCCACAAGGAAGCCAGUUCAGAGGCUAUUGAAAUGCUCCAGAUACUAAGAGAGUGAGAGCCUUCAGAUUUGGGUGAGUGAUGCCAUUAGAACCAAGAUUUCUUCCAUUCUUCUGCUCUAUCAUUC